AGAGUUUGAUCAUGGCUCAGGACGAACGCUGGCGGCGUGCCUAAUACAUGCAAGUCGAGCGGAACCAUUGGAGCUUGCUCCUUUGGUUUAGCGGCGGACGGGUGAGUAACACGUGGGCAACCUGCCCUGCAGAUCGGGAUAACUCCGGGAAACCGGUGCUAAUACCGAAUAGUUUGCGGCCUCUCAUGAGGCUGUACGGAAAGACGGUUUCGGCUGUCACUGCAGGAUGGGCCCGCGGCGCAUUAGCUAGUUGGUGAGGUAACGGCUCACCAAGGCCACGAUGCGUAGCCGACCUAAGAGGGUGAUCGGCCACACUGGGACUGUGACACGGCCCAGACUCCUACGGGAGGCAGCAGUAGGGAAUCUUCCGCAAUGGACGAAAGUCUGAUGGAGCAACGCCGCGUGAGUGAAGAAGGUUUUCGGAUCGUAAAACUCUGUUGUGAGGGAAGAACAAGUACCAAUUAACUACUGGUACCUUGACGGUACCUCACCAGAAAGCCACGGCUAACUACGUGCCAGCAGCCGCGGUAAUACGUAGGUGGCAAGCGUUGUCCGGAAUUAUUGGGCGUAAAGCGCGCGCAGGCGGUCCUUUAAGUCUGAUGUGAAAGCCCACGGCUCAACCGUGGAGGGUCAUUGGAAACUGGGGGACUUGAGUGCAGAAGAGGAAAGUGGAAUUCCACGUGUAGCGGUGAAAUGCGUAGAGAUGUGGAGGAACACCAGUGGCGAAGGCGACUUUCUGGUCUGUAACUGACGCUGAGGCGCGAAAGCGUGGGGAGCAAACAGGAUUAGAUACCCUGGUAGUCCACGCCGUAAACGAUGAGUGCUAAGUGUUAGGGGUUUCCGCCCCUUAGUGCUGCAGCUAACGCAUUAAGCACUCCGCCUGGGGAGUACGGCCGCAAGGCUGAAACUCAAAUGAAUUGACGG
rnacentral:rRNA from 1 species